rnacentral:miRNA from 1 species
GUAAGUGAGGGCAAGCCUUCUGG